AGUGAACGCUGGCGGUAGGCCUAACACAUGCAAGUCGAACGGCAGCACAGUAAGAGCUUGCUCUUACGGGUGGCGAGUGGCGGACGGGUGAGGAAUACAUCGGAAUCUACUUUUUCGUGGGGGAUACCGUAGGGAAACUUACGCUAAUACCGCAUACGCCCUACGGGUGAAAGCAGGGGAUCUUCGGACCUUGCGCGAUUGAAUGAGCCGAUGUCGGAUUAGCUAGUUGGCGGGGUAAAGGCCCACCAAGGCGACGAUCCGUAGCUGGUCUGAGAGGAUGAUCAGCCACACUGGAACUGAGACACGGUCCAGACUCCUACGGGAGGCAGCAGUGGGGAAUAUUGGACAAUGGGCGCAAGCCUGAUCCAGCCAUACCGCGUGGGUGAAGAAGGCCUUCGGGUUGUAAAGCCCUUUUGUUGGGAAAGAAAAGCAGCAGGUUAAUACCCCGCUGUUCUGACGGUACCCAAAGAAUAAGCACCGGCUAACUUCGUG
rnacentral:rRNA from 1 species